AUUGAACGCUGGCGGCAGGCCUAACACAUGCAAGUCGAACGAGUGGCGGACGGGUGAGUAAUGUCUGGGAAACUGCCUGAUGGCGGGGGAUAACUACUGGAAACGGUAGCUAAUACCGCAUACCAUCAGAUGUGCCCAGAUGGGAUUAGCUUGUUGGUGGGGUGACGGCUCACCAAGGCGACGAUCCCUAGCUGGUCUGAGAGGGUGACCGGCAGCACGGGAACUGAGACACGGACCAAACUCCUACGGGAGGCAGCGGUGGGGAAUAGGGGACAAUGGGCGCAAGCCUGAUGCAGCCAUGCCGCGUGUAUGAAGAAGGCCUUCGGGUUGUAAAGUACUUUCAGCGGGGAGGCGUUACCCGCAGAAGAAGCACCGGCUAACUCCGUGCCAGCAGCCGCGGUAAUUC
rnacentral:rRNA from 1 species